rnacentral:rRNA from 1 species
GCUCCUAGUACGAGAGGACCGGAGUGGACGCAUCACUGGUGUUCGGGUUGUCAUGCCAAUGGCACUGCCCGGUAGCUAAAUGCGGAAGAGAUAAGUGCUGAAAGCAUCUAAGCACGAAACUUGCCCCGAGAUGAGUUCUCCCUGAGACUUUAGGUCUCCUGAAGGAACGUUGAAGACGACGACGUUGAUAGGCCGGGUGUGUAAGCGCAGCGAUGCGUUGAGCUAACCGGUACUAAUGAACCGUGAGGCUUAACCUUACAACGCCGAAG